CACUUGUCCAUUUUUCUGCGAGGUUGUCGAGCACUUGCUCCUUUUUAUUUCCUCGAAAUAUCUUUUAUUUUUGCAUAGCCCAUGCCUCUAAUGCAAUAAUACUUCGGAAGAGUGAAUCUUUCUGAAUAAAUGUCUUGAUCUUAGGAGUAUGAUAAAUCUCUCAACAAGGGCCUACUCAUUUUGAACAAACUCAAUACAGAGUAGAUAGCUUUUAUAAUCAUAAUUAAUAUUUUCAGUUUUAUCAGGCAUAUAAAACACUGAGGAUGGUAGCUAGAAUUUUGAAGAUUUUGAAAUAAAUUCUCCAAGCAACAAUGAUAUCAAGAAUAAGAAACUCAUACUUUACCAUU
rnacentral:lncRNA from 1 species